CCUACGGGAGGCUGCAGUAGGGAAUAUUGCUCAAUGGGGGAAACCCUGAAGCAGCACCGCCCCGUGGAGGUUGAAGGUUUUCGGAUUGUAACUUCCUUUUGUUAGAGAAGAUAUUGACGUUAUCUAACGAAUAACACCCGGCUAAUCCCGUGCCAGCAGCCGCGGUAAUACGGAGGGUGCAAGCGUUACUCGGAUGCACUGGGCGUAAAGAGCGCGUAGGCGGGAUAGCAAGUCAGAUGUGAAAUCCUAUGGCUUAACCAUAGAACUGCAUUUGAAACUGUUAUUCUAGAGUAUGGGAGAGGUAGGUGGAAUUCUUGGUGUAGGGGUAAAAUCCGUAGAGAUCAAGAGGAAUACUCAUUGCGAAGGCGACCUGCUAGAACAUAACUGACGCUGAUGCGCGAAAGCGUGGGGAGCAAACAGGAUUAGAUACCCCUGUAGUC
rnacentral:rRNA from 1 species